UCGUCGACCGUGAUGUCUUCUCUUACCUUGCGUUUCUCGCCGGCGUUUACACGGCGGAGGGCUUACAUGGCUCUGAAAUCAAUAAAGAGGAGACGGAGGAAAGCUUACACGGCUCUGGAUUUGUGAUUUCCUUAGAUGAACAACACCAUCUCUGCUAAUUAUUAAUCCUAUAAUUUUAUUUCUUCUCGUUGGAAACUCCGGCCAAGCGUUUCAUGUAUCUCCGAUCCGAUUCCGAAACUUAAAUUAAAACUGCAGUUUGAAGCCCAAACCCAACAUCCUUUG